rnacentral:sRNA from 1 species
UAUCUCUCCGUACGGGGAAGGAUGAGAAGCUUCGAAUAAGGUUCGAUUCGAGCGAAAGCGAGAAAGCGUUGCCGCAGGCAACGACCCGAAGGGCGAAGCGCGC